UUUCUCUUGGAAUAAUUGAGGGUGGCACAAAAUUUACCAGGAAGAAUCAACCAGUAACUUUUGAAUGUCCUGUUGAAAAGCAAAACUUUAAACACUGGCAAAUGAUGAUGGAACAGUCAUUAACAGAAUUUAUAAUACUUAAGCAUUAAAGCAAAUGUGUUUCCUAACAAUGUCAGCAUCAUAAACAUCACACUUCUUGAAAAUAAUGAGCAAGCAAUUGUUUGUGAAAUCACCACUGAUAAGAUAAGAUUUUAUGCAAGACCAUUAUUCAAUGUCAUUGGGAAU